GGGGAAGUCUUCUUGCCACGACAUAACAUGGCAGAGGGCAGGAGCUGGCCAGGCAGGACAGCAUGGCAUAGAGAGCUUUAAAAAGCCACCCUGCCGUAACUCAUCCAUCACGUGUGGAUUAAUCUUCAUGGGGCAGAGGUCUCCCGAGCCAUCACCUCGGAGCUGCUCCCUCUCCAAGGCCUCUAACGUAUGACCCUGAGAAGUAAGUUCUAACACCAGAAACACCUGAAACCGGGGAACACAUUCAAACCACAGCCCUGAUGGAAGGAGGGAAGGAAGGAGCCACAAAGUCUAGCCAUCGCCAACUCGAGUGAGAACACCGCGAGGUCAUCGCUCUCUCCUGACCGCAUCUCCAGGGACUGCGGCGCUACCUCUCCUGAUCAGCAGAGCCGACGCAAGGCCCAUGCGGAGACCUCAGUGCAAGACCCAGGGAAGGGACCACGUGAGAGGACCGCGAGGAGCAGCGCAUCUGUGAGGGCCGCCACGACUCAUGUGAGCAUGCGCGUGAUGGCCCUACCUUCCCACGGUGGAGCUGAGGUACGGUGGCCGCCGUGGCCCACGUAGCGGGAGCAGGACCUGGCUGGCUGGCUGGCCCCAGAGGUCAGGCCUCAGGGCCUCGGUGCCAAGAAUCUUACUCCCUUCUGUGCUGCUGAAACAGAACGCCGCAGAGCGGGCAUUGGGUGGCUCGCAGUGAGGCGUGGAGGCCCCGUCGAGCAGAGGCAGGAGUCAGGGCCGAGAGAGCAGAGGGGCUCUGCCGCCCUGUUGUCACUGCACAGCUCCCACCCUUGAGGGUGGAGGCCGCUUGGCAAGUCACCCCCUAAGGUCCCACUCAACACGGUUACCAUGGCAAUUUGAUUUCCACACGAAUUUGGCAGGGACUAACAUUCGAGCCACAGCACAGUGCCAGCAAGCUCUGCCCGAAAGAAGGCCAGGCGCUCUGCAGGGCCUGGCAGGAGAACUGUGGCCGGGGUUCAUCCGCACUCUCAGUGGGGGACCCAGCCCAGACAGCGACAGGGAAGCACGAAAGCCCCUUGCCUGGAGUGCAGGAGGACAGUGGUCCUGGCCCGGGCUGCACAUCAUCCAGUGAGGACCCGCACUAAAGAAAAGAUGGCUGGAGCAGUCUCCACCCAGCCGCUCGCCCCCAUUGCUAGAGGUCAUCUGCAUAUUGGAGCAGAGAGAGUCUCGGUUGUCAAAGGACCUUUGCAGCAACUUGAAGCAGCCCAAGAAUCCUUCAAGUUUCUGGAGUUUGUGGUGGUUAUCAGGAGCAUAGGGCCACCAAAGCAGCAUUGAACUGGUACUGCAGAAUUGUUUGGAAAUAUCUCCUUUUCCCUAACAAAUGCAUGACCUUUAACCCACAUAUUUCUCUCUUGUUCUGGACCCAGGAGAGAUGAGUUUGUACACCCA
rnacentral:lncRNA from 1 species